AUCCCAAGUGGAUUUAAUCCGAUCAACAAUCCGAGCCCAAACAUCGCCGCCUUCGCCCUAUCCCUCACCAUGGGCAGUCCCCUACUGCUCAUCGAGAUCGGGGAGCCCUUCAUGGUUGCCGCCCUCGACAAAGAUGCUGAGCUUCUACACGAGGGCGGGUUCUUCUCCCGGCUUUGCUGACACACUAGCUAGAUUAAGAUUCUCUAUUCUUAUGCC
rnacentral:lncRNA from 1 species